rnacentral:tRNA from 1 species
AGAGAUGUAGCCAAGCGGUAAGGCAAAGGACUUUGACUCCUUUAUUCGUUGGUUCAAAUCCAACCAUCUCUG